CCUACGGGGAGCAGCAGUGAGGAAUAUUGGUCAAUGGACGAGAGUCUGAACCAGCCAAGUAGCGUGAAGGAUGACUGCCCUAUGGGUUGUAAACUUCUUUUAUAUGGGAAUAAAAUGUUCCACGUGUGGGAUUUUGUAUGUACCAUAUGAAUAAGGAUCGGCUAACUCCGUGCCAGCAGCCGCGGUAAUACGGAGGAUCCGAGCGUUAUCCGGAUUUAUUGGGUUUAAGGGGAGCGUAGGUGGAUUGUUAAGUCAGUUGUGAAAGUUUGCGGCCCAACCGUAAAAUUGCAGUUGAAACUGGCAGUCUUGAGUACAGUAGAGGUGGGCGGAAUUCGUGGUGUAGCGGUGAAAUGCUUAGAUAUCACGAAGAACUCCGAUUGCGAAGGCAGUUCACUGGACUGCAACUGACACUGAGGCUCGAAAGUGUGGGUAUCAAACAGGAUUAGAUACCCCUGUAGUC
rnacentral:rRNA from 1 species